CUUAGUAUCUUGGUUAAGCGCUGUGGGACUAACCAAGAUUUCAAACAGGCCAUCGGACUCGUCAGGUAUAUUGACGGGUUCUGAUCCACCUUUCAGUAUACCAAAGUUCUGGCUAACGGAUUUGAUUCUUUUCCACACUGUCUUGCCUUUCUUCCCGAUUUUAGCAGACAUGAAAACAGGGGCUUUGUCCCAACCGGUCGCAUCCGGUUUAAACGAGAUUUUAAAACCGAUUCGAUAUGUUUUCCC